AUUACACUUGCAGGGUUAAGGGUGAUGGGAGUUGGCACCCAGACCACUUCAAUGAGCUGAAGUGGUCUGGGUGCCUCCAGUGUCCCUUUAACCCCUUAAGGACACAUGACAUGUGUGACGUCAUGAUUCCCUUUUAUUCCAGAAGUUUGGUCCUUAAGGGGUUAAAUGGCUACAUACAGAGAACUAACAUUUUUCUUUUUUUAAAUCUGCUAGUCACUUGCAUUACAUUUUCACUUUAAUAAUGACAUCCAAAUCACCAAAAUCAAAGCAGGGAUUAAAUUACUGUUCACUGGUCUA